UACGGGGGGGGCAAGCGUUGUUCGGAAUUACUGGGCGUAAAGGGUUCGUAGGUGGCCAACUAAGCCAGACGUGAAAUCCCUCAGCUUAACUGGGGAACUGCGUCUGGGACUGGAUGGCUUGAGUGCAGGAGAGGAACGCGGAAUUCCAGGUGUAGCGGUGAAAUGCGUAGAUAUCAGGAGGAACACCGGUGGUGUAGACGGCUUUCUGGACCGUAACUGACGCUGAGACACGAAAGCGUGGGUAGCAAACAGG
rnacentral:rRNA from 1 species